GUGGGGAAUAUUGGGCAAUGGGGGAAACCCUGACCCAGCGACGCCGCGUGGGUGAAGAAAUCCUUCGGGAUGUAAAGCCCUGUUGUAUGGGAAGAGCGGAAGACGGUACCAUACGAGGAAGCCCCGGCAAACUACGUGCCAGCAGCCGCGGUAAUACGUAGGGGGCAAGCGUUGUCCGGAAUUACUGGGCGUAAAGCGCACGCAGGCUGAAUUAUAAGUCGGUAGUCAAAGGCGGAGGCUCAACCUCUGUAUAUCUAUCGAUACUGUAAAUCUGGAGUAUGUGAGAGGGAAGCGGAAUUCCCGGUGUAGCGGUGAAAUGCGUAGAUUUCGGGAGGAACACCAGUGGCGAAGGCGGCUUCCUGGCACAAUACUGACGCUCAUGUGCGAAAGCUAGGGCAGCGAACGGGAUUAGAAACCCCUGUAGUCC
rnacentral:rRNA from 1 species